UACGUAGGUGGCAAGCGUUGUCCGGAUUUAUUGGGUUUAAAGGGUGCGUAGGCGGCCCUGUAAGUCAGUGGUGAAAUACUCCAGCUUAACUGGAGGGGUGCCAUUGAUACUGCAGGGCUUGAGUGGAGUCGAAGUAGGCGGAAUUGACGGUGUAGCGGUGAAAUGCUUAGAUAUCGGCAAGAACACCGAUAGUGAAGACAGCUUACUAGGCUUCUACUGACGCUGAGGCACGAAAGUGUGGGGAUCAAACAGG
rnacentral:rRNA from 1 species